UAACUGAGCAAGCAAUCUUUUCUCCUGGUGAAUUCACAAGGCACUCCAGCUCCAGCUGCUCAAAAUCACAGGGAGAGCUUUGAUCCCAUGGUAGAUCCGUCUGGACAGCUAAGCAACAUGCAUGUAAUAAGAUCCUUUCCUUGAGUCAGCAGUGUUCGAGAACAAGUCUUAUCCUUUUCUUUAGCAAGAGAAUAUAUUCUUAAUAUUCUCGAUGAUCAAAAUUCCCUCAUCCUUGUACAGCUAUUUAUGUGUUUACUAUUAAUGAGUUAGUCACAGGAAAAAAAAAAAAGGUAAGAAUUUUAUUGAAACUUUUGUAUUUUCCCCCUAUUUUUUUAAAACAGGCCAUAAAACAAGUCUAGACAAGAGCUCUAUGUUGUAAUCUUUGUGCUAUAACAUAGCAAUUAAACAUUUGUUCUUUGUAUCAUAAUAGGUCAGACGCUCCUUCUAUACACUAGGGACAAGUUCUCUUCUAUCAGCCUUUCUCAGCUGCCCACCUAUUCACUUAUUUUCAAAGCAAAAGGAGAAUUUUUCUGACUGAGGAAUAUGAGCCUUACUUACCCCACUGGAAAUUUUGCAAAGAAGCCAGUUAUUGAGGAUAUAUAGUUUAUACGCUGGAACAGAAGCAGUGCGACCGUAUAAGACAGUACGUAUGAAUUCAUUCAAGCCCACAAAUGUUACUGAAAAAAUAUAAUUUUAAUAGUUAAUGUGCUUAAUAUUAUGUAUGUAAGAAAUUAAAACACUUAAUCUUUUCAUGUUUUGAAGCUAGAGACAAACAUGAGGAAAGGGCCACUCUAGACACAUUCUGCA
rnacentral:lncRNA from 1 species